rnacentral:rRNA from 1 species
UACGUAGGGUGCAAGCGUUGUCCGGAAUUAUUGGGCGUAAAGAGCUCGUAGGCGGUCUGUCGCGUCUGCUGUGAAAACUCAGGGCUUAACCCUGAGCUUGCAGUGGGUACGGGCAGACUAGAGUGCGGUAGGGGAGAUCGGAAUUCCUGGUGUAGCGGUGGAAUGCGGCAGAUAUCAGGAGGAACACCGGUGGCGAAGGCGGAUCUCUGGGCCAUGAACUGACGCUGGAGGCGCGAAAGCGUGGGGAGCAAACAGGA